GACGUAGGGCGCGAGCGUUGUCCGGAUUUAUUGGGCGUAAAGAGCUCGUAGGCGGCUUGUCGCGUCGGACUCGUGAAAUCCCGCGGCUCAACUGCGGGUCUGCAGGUCGAUACGGGCAGGCUAGAGUUCGGUAGGGGAGACUGGAAUCCUGGUGUAGCGGUGAAAUGCGCAGAUAUCAGGAGGAACACCGGUGGCGAAGGCGGGUCUC
rnacentral:rRNA from 1 species